rnacentral:rRNA from 1 species
UGGGGAAUAUUGCACAAUGGGCGAAAGCCUGAUGCAGCAACGCCGCGUGAGGGACGACGGCCUUCGGGUUGUAAACCUCUUUUAGCAAGGAAGAAGCGAAAGUGACGGUACUUGCAGAAAAAGCGCCGGCUAACUACGUGCCAGCAGCCGCGGUAAUACGUAGGGCGCAAGCGUUAUCCGGAAUUAUUGGGCGUAAAGAGCUCGUAGGCGGUUUGUCGCGUCUGCUGUGAAAACCCGAGGCUCAACCUCGGGCCGUGCAGUGGGUACGGGCAGACUAGAGUGCGGUAGGGGAGAUUGGAACUCCUGGUGUAGCGGUGGAAUGCGCAGAUAUCAGGAAGAACACCGAUGGCGAAGGCAGAUCUCUGGGCCGUAACUGACGCUGAGUGCAGACGGAAGGUGGGGAGCAAACAGGCUUAGAUACCCUGGUAGNCCACCCCCGUAAACGUUGGGAACUAGUUGUGGGGUCCAUUCCACGGAUUCCGUGACGCAGCUAACGCAUUAAGUUCCCCGCCUGGGGGAGUACGGCCGCAAGGCU